GAGUUUGAUCGUGGCUCAGGAUGAACGCUGGCGGCGUGCCUAAUACAUGCAAGUCGAGCGAACGGACGAGAAGCUUGCUUCUCUGAUGUUAGCGGCGGACGGGUGAGUAACACGUGGAUAACCUACCUAUAAGACUGGGAUAACUUCGGGAAACCGGAGCUAAUACCGGAUAAUAUUUUGAACCGCAUGGUUCAAAAGUGAAAGACGGUCUUGCUGUCACUUAUAGAUGGAUCCGCGCUGCAUUAGCUAGUUGGUAAGGUAACGGCUUACCAAGGCAACGAUGCAUAGCCGGCCUGAGAGGGUGAUCGGCCACACUGGAACUGAGACACGGUCCAGACUCCUACGGGAGGCAGCAGUAGGGAAUCUUCCGCAAUGGGCGAAAGCCUGACGGAGCAACGCCGCGUGAGUGAUGAAGGUCUUCGGAUCGUAAAACUCUGUUAUUAGGGAAGACAUAUGUGUAAGUAACUGUGCACAUCUUGACGGUACCUAAUCAGAAAGCCACGGCUAACUACGUCG
rnacentral:rRNA from 1 species